UUCUUGAUGAAUACUAUUCAUUUUGGCAUACAAGCCAUUUUAUCCAAGGCCAUCGUGCGAUUCUGGUCUCAAAAGUUGUAACCUAGUGUAAAAAUGUCAUGGAGGGAUUACUUUCUCAAAGUUGUACCAACGGCUAUUGGAACAGCGCUGGAUAUAAACCUGAGUAAUGUCUCCCUUGUUUUCAUCUCUGUCACAUUUGCCACUAUGUGUAAAUCCGCCUCUCCAAUAUUUCUCCUUCUAUUUGCUUUUGCAUUCAAG